rnacentral:rRNA from 1 species
GAUGAACGCUGGCGGCGUGCCUAAUACAUGCAAGUCGAACGAGUUCUCGUUGAUGAUCGGUGCUUGCACCGAGAUUCAACAUGGAACGAGUGGCGGACGGGUGAGUAACACGUGGGUAACCUGCCCUUAAGUGGGGGAUAACAUUUGGAAACAGAUGCUAAUACCGCAUAGAUCCAAGAACCGCAUGGUUCUUGGCUGAAAGAUGGCGUAAGCUAUCGCUUUUGGAUGGACCCGCGGCGUAUUGGCUAGUUGGUGAGGUAAUGGCUCACCAAGGCGAUGAUACGUAGCCGAACUGAGAGGUUGAUCGGCCACAUUGGGACUGAGACACGGCCCAAACUCCUACGGGAGGCAGCAGUAGGGAAUCUUCCACAAUGGACGCAAGUCUGAUGGAGCAACGCCGCGUGAGUGAAGAAGGCUUUCGGGUCGUAAAACUCUGUUGUUGGAGAAGAAUGGUCGGCAGAGUAACUGUUGUCGGCGUGACGGUAUCCAACCAGAAAGCCACGGCUAACUACGUGCCAGCAGCCGCGGUAAUACGUAGGUGGCAAGCGUUAUCCGGAUUUAUUGGGCGUAAAGCGAGCGCAGGCGGUUUUUUAAGUCUGAUGUGAAAGCCCUCGGCUUAACCGAGGAAGCACAUCGGAAACUGGGAAACUUGAGUGCAGAAGAGGACAGUGGAACUCCAUGUGUAGCGGUGAAAUGCGUAGAUAUAUGGAAGAACACCAGUGGCGAAGGCGGCUGUCUGGUCUGUAACUGACGCUGAGGCUCGAAAGCAUGGGUAGCGAACAGGAUUAGAUACCCUGGUAGUCCAUGCCGUAAACGAUGAAUGCUAGGUGUUGGAGGGUUUCCGCCCUUCAGUGCCGCAGCUAACGCAUUAAGCAUUCCGCCUGGGGAGUACGACCGCAAGGUUGAAACUCAAAGGAAUUGACGGGGGCCCGCACAAGCGGUGGAGCAUGUGGUUUAAUUCGAAGCAACGCGAAGAACCUUACCAGGUCUUGACAUCUUUUGAUCACCUGAGAGAUCAGGUUUCCCCUUCGGGGGCAAAAUGACAGGUGGUGCAUGGUUGUCGUCAGCUCGUGUCGUGAGAUGUUGGGUUAAGUCCCGCAACGAGCGCAACCCUUAUGACUAGUUGCCAGCAUUUAGUUGGGCACUCUAGUAAGACUGCCGGUGACAAACCGGAGGAAGGUGGGGAUGACGUCAAAUCAUCAUGCCCCUUAUGACCUGGGCUACACACGUGCUACAAUGGAUGGUACAACGAGUCGCGAGACCGCGAGGUCAAGCUAAUCUCUUAAAGCCAUUCUCGGUUCGGACUGUAGGCUGCAACUCGCCUACACGAAGUCGGAAUCGCUAGUAAUCGCGGAUCAGCACGCCGCGGUGAAUACGUUCCCGGGCCUUGUACACACCGCCCGUCACGCCAUGAGAGUUUGUAACACCCGAAGCCGGUGGCGUAACCCUUUUAGGGAGCGAGCCGUCUAAGGUGGGACAAAUGAUUAGGGUG